GGGUUGUGAGGUUAAGCGACUAAGCGUACACGGUGGAUGCCCUGGCAGUCAGAGGCGAUGAAGGGCGUGCUAAUCUGCGAUAAGCGCCGGUAAGGUGAUAUGAACCGUUAUAACCGGCGAUACCCGAAUGGGGAAACCCAGUGUGAUUCGUCACACUAUCAUUAACUGAAUCCAUAGGUUAAUGAGGCGAACCGGGGGAACUGAAACAUCUAAGUACCCCGAGGAAAAGAAAUCAACCGAGAUUCCCCCAGUAGCGGCGAGCGAACGGGGAGGAGCCCAGAGCCUGAAUCAGCAUGUGUGUUAGUGGAAGCGUCUGGAAAGGCGCGCGAUACAGGGUGACAGCCCCGUACACAAAAGCGCAUGUGCUGUGAGCUCGAUGAGUAGGGCGGGACACGUGGUAUCCUGUCUGAAUAUGGGGGACCAUCCUCCAAGGCUAAAUACUCCUGACUGACCGAUAGUGAACCAGUACCGUGAGGGAAAGGCGAAAAGAACCCCGGCGAGGGGAGUGAAAAAGAACCUGAAACCGUGUACGUACAAGCAGUGGGAGCACCCUUCGGGGUGUGACUGCGUACCUUUUGUAUAAUGGGUCAGCGACUUAUAUUCUGUAGCAAGGUUAACCGUAUAGGGGAGCCGGAGGGAAACCGAGUCUUAAUUGGGCGUUAAGUUGCAGGGUAUAGACCCGAAACCCGGUGAUCUAGCCAUGGGCAGGUUGAAGGUUGGGUAACACUAACUGGAGGACCGAACCGACUAAUGUUGAAAAAUUAGCGGAUGACCUGUGGCUGGGGGUGAAAGGCCAAUCAAACCGGGAGAUAGCUGGUUCUCCCCGAAAGCUAUUUAGGUAGCGCCUCGUGAAUUCAUCUCCGGGGGUAGAGCACUGUUUCGGCUAGGGGGCCAUCCCGGCUUACCAACCCGAUGCAAACUGCGAAUACCGGAGAAUGUUAUCACGGGAGACACACGGCGGGUGCUAACGUCCGUCGUGAAGAGGGAAACAACCCAGACCGCCAGCUAAGGUCCCAAAGUCAUGGUUAAGUGGGAAACGAUGUGGGAAGGCCCAGACAGCCAGGAUGUUGGCUUAGAAGCAGCCAUCAUUUAAAGAAAGCGUAAUAGCUCACUGGUCGAGUCGGCCUGCGCGGAAGAUGUAACGGGGCUAAACCAUGCACCGAAGCUGCGGCAGCGAACGUAUCACCCAAGACAACUUUACGGAGUUGACGAUUGACGGAGCGAAGCGACGUCAAAGCGUUCAUUAAAGUCGAGUUGGCUUAGGGAUACGUUCGUUGGGUAGGGGAGCGUUCUGUAAGCCUGUGAAGGUGUGUCGUGAGGCAUGCUGGAGGUAUCAGAAGUGCGAAUGCUGACAUAAGUAACGAUAAAGCGGGUGAAAAGCCCGCUCGCCGGAAGACCAAGGGUUCCUGUCCAACGUUAAUCGGGGCAGGGUGAGUCGACCCCUAAGGCGAGGCCGAAAGGCGUAGUCGAUGGGAAACGGGUUAAUAUUCCCGUACUUGGUGUUACUGCGAAGGGGGGACGGAGAAGGCUAUGUUGGCCGGGCGACGGUUGUCCCGGUUUAAGCGUGUAGGUGUGUGUUCCAGGUAAAUCCGGUUCACUUUAACACUGAGGCGUGACGACGAGGCACUACGGUGCUGAAGCAACAAAUGCCCUGCUUCCAGGAAAAGCCUCUAAGCAUCAGGUAACAUCAAAUCGUACCCCAAACCGACACAGGUGGUCAGGUAGAGAAUACCAAGGCGCUUGAGAGAACUCGGGUGAAGGAACUAGGCAAAAUGGUGCCGUAACUUCGGGAGAAGGCACGCUGACACGUAGGUGAAGUGAUUUACUCAUGGAGCUGAAGUCAGUCGAAGAUACCAGCUGGCUGCAACUGUUUAUUAAAAACACAGCACUGUGCAAACACGAAAGUGGACGUAUACGGUGUGACGCCUGCCCGGUGCCGGAAGGUUAAUUGAUGGGGUCAGCGCAAGCGAAGCUCCUGAUCGAAGCCCCGGUAAACGGCGGCCGUAACUAUAACGGUCCUAAGGUAGCGAAAUUCCUUGUCGGGUAAGUUCCGACCUGCACGAAUGGCGUAAUGAUGGCCAGGCUGUCUCCACCCGAGACUCAGUGAAAUUGAACUCGCUGUGAAGAUGCAGUGUACCCGCGGCAAGACGGAAAGACCCCGUGAACCUUUACUAUAGCUUGACACUGAACAUUGAGCCUUGAUGUGUAGGAUAGGUGGGAGGCUUUGAAGUGUGGACGCCAGUCUGCAUGGAGCCGACCUUGAAAUACCACCCUUUAAUGUUUGAUGUUCUAACGUGGACCCGUUACCCGGGUUGCGGACAGUGUCUGGUGGGUAGUUUGACUGGGGCGGUCUCCUCCUAAAGAGUAACGGAGGAGCACGAAGGUUGGCUAAUCCUGGUCGGACAUCAGGAGGUUAGUGCAAUGGCAUAAGCCAGCUUGACUGCGAGCGUGACGGCGCGAGCAGGUGCGAAAGCAGGUCAUAGUGAUCCGGUGGUUCUGAAUGGAAGGGCCAUCGCUCAACGGAUAAAAGGUACUCCGGGGAUAACAGGCUGAUACCGCCCAAGAGUUCAUAUCGACGGCGGUGUUUGGCACCUCGAUGUCGGCUCAUCACAUCCUGGGGCUGAAGUAGGUCCCAAGGGUAUGGCUGUUCGCCAUUUAAAGUGGUACGCGAGCUGGGUUUAGAACGUCGUGAGACAGUUCGGUCCCUAUCUGCCGUGGGCGCUGGAGAACUGAGGGGGGCUGCUCCUAGUACGAGAGGACCGGAGUGGACGCAUCACUGGUGUUCGGGUUGUCAUGCCAAUGGCACUGCCCGGUAGCUAAAUGCGGAAGAGAUAAGUGCUGAAAGCAUCUAAGCACGAAACUUGCCCCGAGAUGAGUUCUCCCUGAGACUUAGAGUCUCCUGAAGGAACGUUGAAGACGACGACGUUGAUAGGCCGGGUGUGUAAGCGCAGCGAUGCGUUGAGCUAACCGGUACUAAUGAACCGUGAGGCUUAACCUUACAACGCCGAAG
rnacentral:rRNA from 2 species